CGCACAGCGAAAGGUGCUUGCACCUUUCAAGUGAGUGGCGAACGGGUGAGUAACACGUGGACAACCUGCCUCAAGGCUGGGGAUAACAUUUGGAAACAGAUGCUAAUACCGAAUAAAACUUAGUGUCGCAUGACACAAAGUUAAAAGGCGCUUCGGCGUCACCUAGAGAUGGAUCCGCGGUGCAUUAGUUAGUUGGUGGGGUAAAGGCCUACCAAGACAAUGAUGCAUAGCCGAGUUGAGAGACUGAUCGGCCACAUUGGGACUGAGACACGGCCCAAACUCCUACGGGAGGCUGCAGUAGGGAAUCUUCCACAAUGGGCGAAAGCCUGAUGGAGCAACGCCGCGUGUGUGAUGAAGGCUUUCGGGUCGUAAAGCACUGUUGUAUGGGAAGAACAGCUAGAAUAGGAAAUGAUUUUAGUUUGACGGUACCAUACCAGAAAGGGACGGCUAAAUACGUGCCAGCAGCCGCGGUAAUACGUAUGUCCCGAGCGUUAUCCGGAUUUAUUGGGCGUAAAGCGAGCGCAGACGGUUUAUUAAGUCUGAUGUGAAAGCCCGGAGCUCAACUCCGGAAUGGCAUUGGAAACUGGUUAACUUGAGUGCAGUAGAGGUAAGUGGA
rnacentral:rRNA from 1 species